rnacentral:SRP_RNA from 1 species
CGCGGUGGCGCGUGCCUGUAGUCCCAGCUACUCGGGAGGCUGAGGUGGGAGGAUCGCUUGAGCCCAGGAGUUCUGGGCUGUAGUGCGCUAUGCCGAUCGGGUGUCCGCACUAAGUUCGGCAUCAAUAUGGUGACCUCCCGGGAGCGGGGGACCACCAGGUUGCCUAAGGAGGGGUGAACCGGCCCAGGUCGGAAACGGAGCAGGUCAAAACUCCCGUGCUGAUCAGUAGUGGGAUCGCGCCUGUGAAUAGCCACUGCACUCCAGCCUGAGCAACAUAGCA